rnacentral:lncRNA from 1 species
AUGGUCACUUUUGGACUGGUCAGUUUGGAAUGGUCACUUUUGGACUGGUCAGUUUUGGUUUGGUCGGUUUGGAAUGGUCACUUUCAGAAUGGUCACUUAGGGAAUGGUCAGUUUGGUGGGGAAUGGUCACUUUUGGACUGGUCAGUUUUGGUUUGGUUGGUUUGGAAUGGUCACUUUCAGAAUGGUCACUUUUGGUUUGGUCACUUUGGCAGUGGUCACUUUCCAAGUGGUCAGUUUGCUGAGGAAUGGUCACUUUUGGACUGGUCAGCUUUGGUUUGGUCAGUUUGGAAUGGUCACUUUGGGAGCAGUGGUCACUUUCCGAAUGGCCACUUUCUGAGUGGUCAGUUUGGGGGGGGAAAUGGUCACUUUGGCAGGGGUCACUUUGGUCACUUUGAGAGGGGAUUGGUCACAUUGGAGUGGUCACUUUGGGAGGAGCGGUCACUGUGGGAGCGGUCAGUUUGGUGGGGGAGGGGAGGAUUUCAGGAUGAGGAUGAAGAAGAUGAGGAUGAGGAUGAAGAUGAAGACAAAACCAAGGGAGAUCAGGAAGAUAACGAGGAAGAAGAAGAAGAUAAGGAUGAAGAUGAAGAUGAAGAUGAAGAUGAAGAUGAAGAUGAAGACAAAACCAAUAGAGAUAAGGAAGAAGAAGAUAAGGAUGAAGAUGAGGAUGAUGAUGAGGAUGAAGAUGAAGAUGGACACAAAGCCAAGGGAGAUAAGGAAGGUGAAGAUGAAGAUGAUGAAGAUGAAGCCAAGGAGAUGAAGGUGAGGAUGAUGAGGAUGACGAUGAGGAUGAAGACCAUGGACAUGAAGACAAAGAUGAAGAAGAUGAAGAAGACAGAGCCGAGGAAGAUGAGGAAGAUGAAGAUGAAGAUGAAGGUGAAGCUGAGGAUGAUGAGGAUGAUGGAGAUGAAGAUGAAGGUGACGAUGAUGAUGAAGAUGAGGAUGAAGGCUCACCAGUAGAAUGCGCACACCAGCUCCUGCCAGCUGAGGGCGCCACACCAUGGACAUGAGGACAAAGAUGAACAUGAAGACAAAGCCAAGGAAGAUGAGGAAGAUGAAGAUGAAGAUGAAGGUGAGGAUGAUGAGGAUGAUGGAGAUGAAGAUGAUGAAGAUGAGGAUGAGGAUGAAGACGAAGGCUCACCAAUAGAAGGUGCACACCAGCUCCUGCCAGCUGAGGGCGCUCCGGUCCUGCCGCUGCCACCGCAGCCCCUCCUGCGCCACGCGCGACUGAGACCCCUCCCCCAGCACGCCCAGGCCCCGCCCCCUGCCCCACGUCACCCCGAAGCUCCACCCCCUGGUCACCGAUGACGUCACCGCCGUGCCCACGGCCGACGCCCCCGCGGCCACUCGGGAUUGGCGGCGGCAGCGGCGGCCGGAGCGCCAGCCGCCAAUGGCGGAGGGGACGCGGCGGGGGGACAGCGCGUGCAGGGCGUCGGGACACAGGAGACACCGGGGGACACCCUUGGGGACACCAAUGGGACCACCGGGACCGACACCGUCACCUCUGGGGCCACCAUUGUCACCAGGGCCGCCAUGGGCACCGCUGGCACCUCCGGGGCCGCCAUGUUUCCCAAGGCCCAAGGUGUCCUCGUGGGUUUCCCGGGUUCCACCAUUGUCACCGUGUCCAUCCCAGGUGUCCCCGUUGGUGUCCCCAUGUCUGUCCCAUCCAUCCCAUGCAUCCCCGAUGUCCCCAAGGGUGUCCCCAAGGGUGUCCCCAAG